rnacentral:rRNA from 1 species
CCUUCUUUUUCCCUCUUUUCUCUUCCUCCCUUUUCUUCCCUCUCUUUUCUUCUGGUCGGCAGGUCUUCUGUGAAAGCCCCCGGCUCAACCGGGGAAUUGCAGGGGAAACCGCCGCUCUUGAGGCAGGUAGAGGUGACCGGAACGUGUGGUGGAGCGGUGAAAUGCGUAGAUAUCACACGGAACGCCGGUGGUGAAAACGGGUCACUGGGCCUGUCCUGACGCUGAGACGCGAGAGCGUGGGGAGCAAACAG